UUAAAAUACCGGUUCUCAUGCGAUCGACGAAGUUAAGCAACGUCGAGCCUUGUCAGUACCUAGAUGGGUGACCGCUUGGGAAGACUAGGUGCU